rnacentral:rRNA from 1 species
AACGAACGCUGGCGGCAGGCUUAACACAUGCAAGUCGAACGCCCCGCAAGGGGAGUGGCAGACGGGUGAGUAACGCGUGGGAAUCUACCCAGUUCUACGGAAUAGCCCAGGGAAACUUGGACUAAUACCGUAUACGCCCUACGGGGGAAAGAUUUAUCGGAAUUGGAUGAGCCCGCGUUGGAUUAGCUAGUUGGUGGGGUAAUGGCCUACCAAGGCGACGAUCCAUAGCUGGUCUGAGAGGAUGAUCAGCCACACUGGGGCUGAGACACGGCCCAGACUCCUACGGGAGGCAGCAGUGGGGAAUAUUGGACAAUGGGCGCAAGCCUGAUCCAGCCAUGCCGCGUGAGUGAUGAAGGCCUUAGGGUUGCAAAGCUCUUUCAGUGGGGACGAUAAUGACGGUACCCACAGAAGAAGCCCCGGCUAACUUCGUGCCAGCCGCCGCGGUAAAAC